GGAGGCAUAGCCAAGCGGAAAGGCAUGGGAUUUUGGUCCCCAUAAUCACUGGUUCAAAUCCAGUUGCCUCUGCCA
rnacentral:tRNA from 1 species